AUAUUGGUUCUGUGAGACCCAGUAAGCCUCUGGCAUCUCCUAUUUUCUUUUCAACUCCACUCCCCGUUUUCUGAGACAAGCGCUCAACCCUGCAGACCAGAAUGAUCUCAAUUCAACCCCCAGCCCUUGCUCCACUCUGGUCUAUCCUGGGGGGGGGAGGGGCAUCUGCAAGGGCAUGAUUCGACAUGCCCAAGCACAUUAGGUGCCUUUCAUUUCAUUUCCCCCCAAAUUUCACUCCAGCUGCUCCCUUCUCCUCGCCAGCAUCGGGAGAAGCGUACUAAAGGCCUGGUUCCACGGGACUGCCAGCACCAGAGUGCACCAACCCCGGUUCUGGAGGCCAACAAGUUAGCAGUAAAGGCUUACAGCUAAAGAGAUCCUCCAUGGCCAGCCAGAAGAAGCGAGAUGCCCAGACCUGAGAGACAACACGCCUACCUCAAACCUGUGAGGAGCUGAGACAGGGGGAGAGCCGGCCAAUCCAUGAGGGCUUGGAGCCCCUCCUCUUCCUCCGCCCCACCUCCUGGAUUCCAGACUCCAGACUGGGUUCAGGUCCUUGCUGGCUUGGUGAGGCCACCGAAG